AUAUUGUCUGAAUAAUAAAUUUAGAAAAUAUAUUAUCACAGCUGUCCCUUGAUUUAUGCUAUUAAAUUUGUAGUUCAAAAAUAAUGUGGUUAAUGAUAGAGCGAUAAUACAAAACUUUGAAAUGUCAAAAUUAAAAAUGACUUAUAUUAUUCCAAAUAAUCUUUGGUGGAUAAAAAUGGUAUGCCCUCCAUUGUCCAUCACGAAUUCCAAGAACAUAUUUUGGAAUGGACUAAAUUUGAGAAAACAACAUAGUAAAGUUUGCCAUAAAAAUAAGAAAAUUUUGAAUAUGGAUACAUUGCAAGAACAAAUAAGUAAACUAGAGAAUAGUGACCCUGGAAGCAUUAGGGAACAGUCAAAACAAAUCAUAAAGGAAAUCGCUGAGGGAAAGAGGACUGGGGUUUGCUUUGUGACUGAAGCCGAUAAUGAUGAUUUGCAUGCAGCAGGUACAACUCCUAUCACAUUUCUCCGCCAGGUUCUUGUUCUCUGCAUGUAUCCUACACUUCUGCAAGAUUCUCGGUUUUCGGAAGAUGCAAAGUGCAGAGCCAAAUGCAUCCUAUCAAGUAUCAAAGGCUCCAGUUUAGGAUCUUGUCCCCACCACCUAGGAUUACCUCUCAUCAGAGAACAUAUAGCUGAAUAUAUUUCAACAAGAGACAAUGGUGUUAAAUCUGAGCCAAGUAAUCUAAUUCUACAUAGCUCAGCACAGGAUGCCAUCAAGAACACUUUGAAAUUGUUCGCGAGAACAAUAGAUGGGAAACCCACCGGAGUCCUUCUCCCUAUUCCACAUCCUCCCGUUUAUAGUGCAUGGUUGUCUGAGCUAGGAUUAUAUGAGAUAGGAUAUCAAUUAAACGAGAAAAAGAAUUGGAAUUUCAACAAAAAACAAUUGGAAAAAAGUAUAGCUGAUGCUCAAUGCCAUUCUGUACCGAGGGUUCUUGUGGCAGUAAAUCCUGGAAAUCCUACUGGUCAAGUAUUCUCAAGACAGAAUAUUACAGAAAUCAUCAAAUUAGCUCACAAAGAAAAACUAUUCAUCUUGGCAGAUGAGAUUUAUCAAGAAAAUGUGUAUAGUGAGACGUCUGAGUUUUAUUCGUUCAAAAAGGUGAAGCACGAGCUUGGGCCACCAUUCGAUAGGAUGGAAUUGGCUUCUUUCCUUUCGGCAUCGAAGGGAAUCUAUGGCGAGUGCGGUUUGAGUGGCUGUUGUGUUGAAUUUGAUGAAAUUGAUGAAGAAGUAAGGGAGAAAAUAAAAAUAAGUCAUUCCAACUUAUUAGGUCCAAAUAUGGUUGGCCAGGUGGUGUUGAGUUGCAUGGCGAAACCCCCCACUGAAGAAAAUGACAGUUUUGAAUUAUAUCUGAGAGAAAAGUGCUGUAUUCUGACGGGACUGAUGCAAAAGGCGAAAUUGGUUUCUGACAGACUGAAUGCUAUUCCUGGCAUAACAAUAGCUCCAAUUGAAGGUGGACUGUAUGGCUAUGGUUGAAUUACCGAAGUCGGCUACUUAUGAAAACCUUGAUCCGAGUGAACUAUGGUGCAAGAAGCUACUGGAAAGCACAGGCAUUCGUUUCACCCCUGGAUCGGCAUUUGGCACAAUACCCGAUUCAUAUUAUUUCAGAAUCAGUUUUGUUCAACCUUUUGAGACUCUGGAGAAUAUUACGGAUGCAGUGAAGCGACACCACUUGGAGUUUUUGAAAAGCUACAAGAAAUGAUGAGCUGAUAGUGUGUGAUCGAAGUGAAAUCUGUCAUUUUUGUCAUGUAUCCCUUCUGUGAAGAAUAAUAAAGUAUCUUGUCAAUAAAGAAAA
rnacentral:misc_RNA from 1 species